AGAGUUUGAUCCUGGCUCAGGAUGAACGCUAGCUACAGGCUUAACACAUGCAAGUCGAGGGGCAGCAUUGUCAUAGCAAUAUGACAGAUGGCGACCGGCGCACGGGUGAGUAACACGUAUCCAACCUGCCUUCCACUCGGGAAUAGCCUUUCGAAAGAAAGAUUAAUGCCCGAUGGCACUGAAAGAGGUCAUCCUUUUUCAGUUAAAGAAUUUCGGUGGAAGAUGGGGAUGCGUUCCAUUAGCUUGUUGGCGGGGUAACGGCCCACCAAGGCAUCGAUGGAUAGGGGUUCUGAGAGGAAGGUCCCCCACAUUGGAACUGAGACACGGUCCAAACUCCUACGGGAGGCAGCAGUGAGGAAUAUUGGUCAAUGGGCGAGAGCCUGAACCAGCCAAGUAGCGUGAAGGAUGACUGCCCUAUGGGUUGUAAACUUCUUUUAUAAGGGAAUAAAACGGGCCACGUGUGGCCUUUUGCACGUACCUUAUGUAUAAGGAUCGGCUAACUCCGUGCCAGCAGCCGCGGUAAUACGGAGGAUCCGAGCGUUAUCCGGAUUUAUUGGGUUUAAAGGGAGCGCAGACGGGGUCUUAAGUCAGUUGUGAAAGUUUGCGGCUCAACCGUAAAAUUGCAGUUGAUACUGGGGCUCUUGAGUGCAGUAUAGGCAGGCGGAAUUCGUGGUGUAGCGGUGAAAUGCUUAGAUAUCACGAAGAACUCCGAUUGCGAAGGCAGCCUGCUGGACUGUAACUGACGUUCAUGCUCGAAAGUGCGGGUAUCAAACAGGAUUAGAUACCCUGGUAGUCCGCACAGUAAACGAUGAAUACUCGCUGUUGGCGAUACACAGUCAGCGGCCAAGCGAAAGCGUUAAGUAUUCCACCUGGGGAGUACGCCGGCAACGGUGAAACUCAAAGGAAUUGACGGGGGCCCGCACAAGCGGAGGAACAUGUGGGUUUAAUUCGAUGAUACGCGAGGAACCUUUACCCGGGCUUGAAUUGCUAAUGAAUAUGGCGGAAACGUCAUAGCCGCAAGGCAUUAGUGAAGGUGCUGCAUGGGUUGUCGUCAGCUCGUGCCGUGAGGUGUCGGCUUAAGUGCCAUAACGAGCGCAACCCUUAUCUAUAGUUACCAUCAGGCAAUGCUGGGGACUCUAUGGAGACUGCCGUCGUAAGAUGUGAGGAAGGUUGGGAUGACGUCAAAUCAGCACGGCCCUUACGUCCGGGGCUACACACGUGUUACAAUGGGGGGUACAGAAGGCAGCUACACAGCGAUGUGAUGCCAAUCCCAAAAACCUCUCUCAGUUCGGACUGGAGUCUGCAACCCGACUCCACGAAGCUGGAUUCGCUAGUAAUCGCGCAUCAGCCACGGCGCGGUGAAUACGUUCCCGGGCCUUGUACACACCGCCCGUCAAGCCAUGAAAGCCGGGGGUACCUGAAGUGCGUAACCGCGAGGAGCGCCCUAGGGUAAAACUGGUGAUUGGGGCUAAGUCGUAACAAGGU
rnacentral:rRNA from 1 species